rnacentral:tRNA from 1 species
AUUUUAAUAGUAUACAAAAAUACAUUAACUUUUCAUGUUAAAAAAAUUUUUAAAAAUUUAAAAUC